UCGUUGAUGCCGGGGAAAGCUACGGGUGAGGGAGGGACUGCUACAUACCAAGGAGCACUGACUACGAGUUGCUUCAGACCUUUCAGUGAUACGGGAAUGGCGAGCAGCAAUGGAAGAUUGACGGGUGGGGGAUUUUGUGCAGAGCCGAGAUCGGGGAAGACGACUUGGUGAGGAUGGUCAAUUGGGAAAAUAGUGACAAUGAGGGACUCGGUGAGAGAAUGGCCAAAC
rnacentral:misc_RNA from 1 species